rnacentral:misc_RNA from 1 species
GCAGAAUUUGGGCUCGCAGAGAAACGAGAUAGCGGCAGACCAUCACCAUGUGCUUCAAUGAACCAUUAAGCAAAGGCAUGCCGCUUUCCACCAUCCGUUUUAACCACCGUUUAUGCUGAGAGGAUAUCUUUGACCAAGUUUUGGCGUGCGAGAAAUCAUCAGUGUUUUAACUUCAGACGCACAUCACAUGUUUGGCAGAUUGCUUCAAUGCAGACUCAUUGCAUUCACAAGCUCUAAACAUCUUCGUUUACCAAACCCCAUCUAGCUAGUAUUGAAUUUUAAUCAAGUCGACUCCUGUUCAAUAUGUUGAUCAUAUGAUUGUAAAUGUUUGAUCCAAUUCAGCCAGCAGAUCAGUUGGUAAACUGUAGCCUGCAGAGUAUGCUCAUUGC